rnacentral:rRNA from 1 species
GUAGGGUAUAUUUGGCAAUGGUCGGAAGACUGACCCAGCCAUGCCGCGUGCAGGAAGACGGCCCUCUGGGUUGUAAACUGCUUUUAUCUGGGAAGAAAAAGGCCAUGCGUGGCAAAUUGCCGGUACCAGAUGCAUAAGCACCGGCUAACUCCGUGCCAGCAGCCGCGGUAAUACGGAGGGUGCGCGCGUUGUCCGGUCUUAUUGGGUUUAAAGGGUGCGUAGGCUGCUGGUUUAGUCAGCGGUGAAAGACUUCGGCUUAGCCGGAGCAGUGCCGUUGAUACUGGUUGGCUUGAGUGUCGGAGGGGUACAUGGAAUUGAUGGUGUAGCGGUGAAAUGCAUAGAUACCAUCAGGAACACCGAUAGCGAAGGCAUUGUACUGGCCGACAACUGACGCUGAUGCACGAAAGUGUGGGGAUCGAACAGGAUUAGAAACCCGGGUAGUCC